rnacentral:misc_RNA from 1 species
UUUCCGUAGGUGAACCUGCGGAAGGAUCAUUAAAGAAUCGCCCCGUUUUUUAUAAAUGGGCUCUAUUCUCAAACCGUGUAUACAUACCUUUGUUGCUUUGGCAGGCCGCCUCCGGGCGUCGGCUCCGGCUGAUAGUGCCUGCCAGAGGACCCAAACUCUGUGUUUAGUGAUGUCUGAGUACUAUAUAAUAGUUAAAACUUUCAACAACGGAUCUCUUGGUUCUG